GCCGGGGUCGCCUAGCCUGGUAGGGCGCGCGCCUGGAAAUGUUAAACCAUAAAGCGCGUUCUCGCAAGGGAACGGGAGUUCAAAUCUCCCUCCCGGCG
rnacentral:tRNA from 2 species